rnacentral:lncRNA from 1 species
AACUACCUAAUAUAGUCCACAAAGUGAGGUAUGGGGAGAAUAAUAUGUAGACGAGCCUUACCCUUAUUCGAAAGGGCAGAAAGGCUAUUUCCAAUCGACCCCGGCUCAGUGAAAUGCGAUUGAAAAAACUGAAUUGAUAUAUAGAGAAAAUCAAGUUCUAUUCAUUUUUAUUUAUAUCUAUAAGCCUGGUGGUAAUAUACUUGCUAGUUGUUGUUGUUGAUUUGAAUAAAGCGACAACAGCUAACGUCACCGUCCAUGGCUCGCCAGAAGAAGAAACAAAUUCUGCCAGUGGUGGACACCACUCUGUCCUCAACCCAAGAAGAAUCAUCGAGAGUUGUUACACUAGAAAUGGGAGUCCCACAGAGUUUAGCCCCAAUUCAGAUAGGGCAAUGGAUGAUGGGUAUGGGUAGUGCUCUAAGGAUAUUGCAAGCAGUAAAUUAAGUUCAAUUAGGGAUCCCAAAUAAGCAACCGACGGAGGUAGAAGACCAACAAGCUGAAGCUCACAGUCCGGCAAUGAAAUUAACAUUCUCUGCAAGCUCGAGUGCGGUGAAACCAAUAAUGGGGGAUGUAGUCAAAGGUAAUCGAGCUCAACACCUAGGACAAGAGCUUAAUUACUUUCCUCCGACUCUGAAAGAUGGAAACAAAAUUAUUAAGCUAAGUGCAAAUGCCAUAGAAAUGCAGAAUCAAAAAUGGAGGUCAGCCUUAAUUGACUAUGUAAUUGGGGGUAAUCCUACUUUUAAAGAAAUGUCUAUUGGGUAUGGAAUACUUUUACAAUUCCACAGGUCUAUCUACAUGAUAAAGGGUACUUCAUAUUCAGAUUUGAAGAUGAAGAGAACAAAAUAAAGAUCAUACAGAAUGGACCUUAUACUUAUAAUAAUAUGCCUAUGAUUCUGAAAUAAUGGGAGCCAAACUUCAAACAAGUUGAAGAACCUCUAAAUGCAGUGCAUAUAUGGAUAGUGUAUCCAAGCUUACCUAUCUAGUAUCGAGAUACAGAAAAUUUGGGACGUAUAACUAGUUGCUUGGAGAAACCAAUAUGUACUGAUAAGUUAACAGCAAAUGAAGAAAGGAUAUCGUAUGCCAGAGUACUCGUUGAAAUGGAUGUGGCCCAGUCUCUCCCAGAUUCAGUUACACUAGAGGAGCCUGAUGAUAGAUAUUUUAUACAAUUAAUUGACUAUGAGUGGAAGCCAGAUUAUUGUCAAGAAUAUUUGCAGAUUGGAAGGCAUAAAACAAACUGCAAGGUACAAAACAAAGCAAAGUCAUGAGUUAAUGAUCAGCAACAGCCAAGGAAGUAGCAAAAGAAGGCCAAACAACAAUGGAAGGCUAAGUAGUAUAGGUUAAGUUGCUAAGGUGUUGACACUGAAGUUGCUGGAAAAUCAAGUGGAGGACUCAAGGAAAAUAAUCAAGAAGUAAACAUUAUAGAGGAGAAUCAGAAAGUCUAAGGGAGCAAUAAUAGAGGCAAGCAGAAAAUGGAAGAAGUAAAGGGUAACAGGUCAAGAGCAUUGAUAGAAACUGAAGAUGUCAAGCAAUUCCUUCAAUAGAACAGAUUCAGUGUGCUAAGGAUUCAACCUGAAAAAGCUAUUGCCAGUAUGGUAAAAGGGGAUACUAGUAACACAGAUUCUCCAUGAUUAACUGCGCAUAGAAUACAAGAGGGUUGAACACGCCCUACAAGAAAAAGGAAUUGAAAUUAAUUUUUCUCAAGAAUAAAGUGGUACUACUGAGAUGUUUAGAAACUAAAAUAAAGCAGGAAAGAGCAGAACAAAUAAAAAGAAAAAUUGGAGCUGAAUGAAAGAUUCAUGAUGAUUAUCUACUCAGUAAUAGAGGUAGACUGUGGAUUUGUUGGAAACCUAAUAAGGUGUCAGUGAACAUACUGGUGUCACAUAUGCAAUUGGUGCACUGCAAGGUUGAGGACAAAGAGUCAAAAUUUUCUUGCGAGGUAACCUUUGGAUAUGGAAUUAAUACUCAACAAGAAAGACAAGUUAUGGAGACAAUUAAAACAGAUUAGUAACUCUAUGAUAGAACCUUGGUUGGUGCUAGAAGAUUUUAAUACAAUUCUUUAUGUGCAUGAUAUAGUUAAUGGGCUGCCAGUGAAGCAAUCAGAGAUGGAAGAUUUCUAGAACUGCAUCCAUGAAAUUGGCUUGAGCCAAGUAAGUAGAAAAAGUUGUACCUACUCAUGGUGUAACAAAAGAGAGACAAAAGAGAGAAUCUACAGCUUGAUUGAUUGGGCAUUUGGAAAUGACCUAUGGUUUAUGAAAUAUGAAAAACUGGAAGCACACUAUCAUAUUCCGGAAUGUUUAGACCACUCUCGAAUUAUAAUCAGAAUAGAAGUGACCUAGCAGAAACUGCCAAGGCCAUUCAGAUUGGUCAAUGUACUACUACCCCAGGAGAAUUUCAAAGAGGCAGUACAUAAAGUGUGGGAACAGCAUGUACAUGGACACAGCCACGUACAUAAUUUGGAGGAAAUUGAAGUUAACAGAAAUAGAGACAUUCCAGAUGAAUAAAGAAAUGUCAACCUUGGAGAGGAAGAUAAGUGUACUGGAAGAAAAACUAAAGCAGGUACAACUAGAGCUAAAUGUAGAUUUGUUCAAUGAGCAACCAUCACAACUGAGAAAGAGAUCCUAGUACAACUAGAAAAAUGGGCAACAAUACAUGAACAAGUGCUCCGACAGAAGUCAAGAGCAACAUGGCUAGCAUAUGGAGAUACAAACACGAAAUACUUCCAUGUAGCAUUGAAAGCAAGGCAAGCGAGAAACAGAGUUUCAUCAAUCUGUAGGAAAGGGGGUAUUCAACUACAUGAUCCUAUUCUGAUCCAAAAUAAGUUUGUAAGUUUUUUCCAGAAGUUACCAGGCACAAGUGAAGGAGAAAUGCCAUGUUUAGAUCCAACAAUUGCAAGAGAUGGCCCUUGUCUUACUGCUGAACAAAAGUUACUUCUCAUUCAAGAAGUAACAGAAACUGAAAGUCCAGGCUUUGAAGGACCUACCCGCUGAGAAAGCCCCUGGCGUUGAUGGUUUCCAGUAGAAUUUUUUAAGCAAUAUUGGUACUUAAUAGGGAAGGAGGUGACAAAGGCAACAAUACAAUUCUUCCAAACUGGUAAGCUACUAAAUGAGGUGAAUUGUACUACUCUUACACUAGUCCCAAAGGUAAAACGAAACCCUCUUUUGUGAAGAAAUUCAGACCUAUAGCCUGUUGUACUACUCUGUACAAACCGAUAGCCAAAGUCAUUACUACUAGGUUAAAACUAGUAGUUGGCCAUCUAGUGGGACCUUCACAAUCAGCAUUUGUUGAGGGGAAAAAUAUUUUGGUUAAUGUGAUUGUGGAUCAUGAACUAGUGAAUGGAGUGUCUCCUAGAUGCCUAGUGAAUGUGGAUAUUAGGAAAGCAUAUGAUACAGUGAACUAGGGAUUUCUUAGAAUGGUAUUGCUAGAAUUUGGGAGACAAGAGGGGUUGCUCUGAUGGUAAGCAACCCCCACUUCCAACCGAGAGGUUGUGCGUCGAGUCUCCCCAAGAGCAAGGUGGCAAGUUCUUGGAGGGAAGGAUGCCGGGGUUUUAUUUGGAAACAGCGUCUCUACCCAAGGGUAGGGGUAAGGUCUGCGUACAUACUACCCUCCGCAGACCCCACUAAGUGGGAUUAUACUGGGUUGUUGUUGUUGUUGUAUUGCUAGAAUUUGGGAUGCCUGGGAAAUUUAUAAAUCUAAUUAUGGAAUGUGUAAGCACAGUGAGCUAUACUUUACUAUUCAUGGAGGACUUACACCUAGGUUCAAAGCUAAGAGAGGUCUAAGAUACGGAGAUUCAAUAUCUCCAUACUUGUUUGUUCUGGUGAUGGAGUAUUUGAAUUGAUCACUUAAGCAACUGAAACAUGUUCCAGAUUUUAACUAUCACCCAAGAUGUAACAAGAUGAAAAUAGUUUAUAUAUGCUUUGCGGAUGACUUAAUCAUGUAUUGUAGAGCUGAUUUAAUCUCAGUACAGUUGAUGAUGAAGCAGUUCAACCAUUUCUCAGCAAUAUCUGGACUAAAGGCUAACUUAGAGAAAAGCUCUUCGUAUGUGGCAAGAGUUAGCUCAAGACUAAAGAACCAUAUAUUAAAUGAGAUAAUGCAGUUUUCAGAGGGGGAGAUACCAUUCCAAUAUUUGGGGGUUCCUGUUAUCAAAGAUCACAGUUCAACAGUGUUUACCAUUAGUUGAGAGAAUGAUUGCUAGAAUAAGAUGCUGAUCUACUAAGUACUUAGCAUAUAGUAGAAGGGUGUAGCUUAUUAAGGGUGUACUGUUCGAGAUGCAAAUUUAUUGGGCUCGGGUGUUUUUAAUCCCAAAGAAGGUCAUCCAGCUUAUGACAAGAAUAUGCAGAAUUUUCCUAUGGACAGGAGGUCAUGAGAGCUCAAAGAGAGCACUGGUUACUUGAGAGACUUUAUGUAGGCCAUACUUAGAAGGGGGCCUAAACUUUAUAGAUUUUCAUACUUGGAAGAAAGCAUCACUUAGCAAAUUAUUAUGGGCUAUAGCAACAAAGAAAGACACUCUUUGGAUAAAAUGGAUUCAUACGUUUUAUAUCAAAGGGAAAGACAUAACAGCUGACUACUACUUCUCAAGCCUACUAUAGUACAAAAAAUAUUAGAUGCCAAGAAAUGAUACCUGAACAAAGAGUUGAAUGUGGCUUUACAGGACUGCUGUGACAAAAGGUAAAUUCAGAAUCAAAAAAGCAUAUCAAGCUUUCCUACCACAAUAUCAGAAUGUUCAAUUGAGAGGACUAGUACUGGGAUCAAAGACUAUUCCUAAAUGCAAGUUCAUUCUAUGGCUGGCACUUAUGGGUUUAGCUACUGUGGAUCGAUGGCAGAAAUGAGGUGUAAAUGUGCAAACAGAAUGUGUAUUAUGCAGCACUAGAGCCGAGGAGAACCUGCAGCACUUGUUCUUUCAAUGCAGUUACUCGUCCUACAUCUGGAAUUCAAUACUCAGUUGGCUAGGAGAGACGAGGAGAAUGAGUAAUUGGGAAGAAAAAACUAACUGGCUUAGCAGGAAAAUGAGGAAUAGCAGACCACGAGUACGGAUUGUAAAAUUCUUAUAUGCUGCUAUUGUUUACCAUUUGUGGAGUGAAAGAAAUGCAAGAAGAUUCCAAAUUAAAAAGAAAGAGAGUCAACAGAUUCUUAAAGAGAUUACAUUACAGUUACACACAAGAGCACAACACUUUAGCAAGUAGCUAUCCUAAGCAGAGUUAGUUACGCAUUGAAAAAAGAUUUUGUACCUUUACAUAGGUAGGGAGAUUUUGGGAGACUAGUUAUAAAGUCCAAAUGUAAUUAGUGGAUAUAAAUAGUUCUAUUUGGUUGAAUAAAAUUUUAAUUUUGGCCAAAAAAAUUGAUUUGAAUAAAUAAAAUCACAUUGCCGCUUGUUUGUUUAAUUUUAUCGAUGAAAAUAAUUUCUUUAAUUGUGAUUCCUCCUCACAAUCACGUAAUGUUAUUAUUUAAUAUAAAAAAUAAAAUUAUUUGUAUUUAACGUAUUGGAUUGAUUUUAAGACAAGAGAGGUUGCUCUGAUGGUAAGCAACCCUCACUUCCAACCGAGAGGUUGUGAGUUCGAGUCUCCCCAGGAGCAAGGUGGGAAGUUUUUGGAGGAAAGAAUGAUGGGGGUCUAUUUUGGAAACAGCCUCUAUACCCCAGUGUAGGGGUAAGGUCUGCAUACCUACACGCAAGAUGUUGUAUUCAAGAUAAAUCAAAGUUGAGUCAUAGAGCAUGCUUGGCUUAGCUGAUUUAGAGUAGCUUAUAAGCAUUAGGUGUUGAAAAGUACUUUUAAGUGCUGAAGCUGAUUUAAAAAAUAAGCAAUAACGUGUUUGGAUAAAAGUGCUAAAAUUAAUAAUAAGCAGCUGAAAAACUAGGUAUACGAAGAGUUCUAUUUUAAAAAGAAGUAUUUUAGGGAUAAAAUAAUAAAUAUUUUGGUCAAACCUAAAGUGCUUAUAAGCUGAAAUUUGAUAAGUUGGGGAAGAUCAACUUAUGGCUCUUCGCUUAUUUUUAGCUUAUAAGCACUUAAUUUAUAAACACUUUUAGUUUUACCAAACGCGUAGAUAAGCCAAAAAGUAUUCAUAAGCCAAUUUGACCAGCUUAUAAGCUUAGCCAAACGCCCUCAUAAAAGAGUCAAAAUUUAUCUCAACAUCCCUUUUCAACUGAUAAUAUUCACUGUAAUGAACUUAAACGGAAUUGAAAUAAUUAAAAACCCAUAAUAAAAUUGAAUUUAAGAUUGCCAUAUAAGAUUCAAAACAACAUUGAAUAAUAAAAGAUUUAAUUUUGGUAAAUGGGAUUGCACAUUUGUGAUUUGUCCCUCACCCGUUAAAAAUACCCUCCCAGAUUUUUAAGGAGCUCGUGAUAUCUUUUGAUUGGACCAGAAGACCCGCCCCAUUCCUUUAAUUAAAACCCACCUGACCCAAUAACUUAUCUUAGACCCAUCAUAAUUUUCAAUCCAUUUCCUAAAACCCACCCCAUUUUCCAUUUUUAUUUCCAAUCGUUCUUUUCAUCUCACUCAGAAAGAAACAUAGGGUUCAUCACACCCUAUUAAAAUCGAUUCGUCCACAUGCUUUCUCCGACAACUGAGAUUAAAGGUAAGUGUUUUCUUCAAGUAAAUGUUUGUUUAAGCUGUUAUAUGUAUUUUCAUGCAUAAAUUUGCCGAGAAUUAGUCACAUGUAGGGAUUUUAUUCUUUAAUCAUGUUAUAGUUUUAAAUAUGAGCUUAAAUAUUUAUAGUUGACUGUUGGUUGUGUUUUUUAUGAGAAUUAGUCACAUGUAGGGAUUUUGUUUACUAGUCAUCUUUAUUGUUUAACUUGUAUUUCAGUUUUGUUGUCACAUCCCUUGCAUAUUAUUGUUCAAUCAUAACAGUCAUUUGUUUUAUUAACUUUUCAGAAUAUUAAAUAUGACUUUGGUGGAUAUAAUCUUUCAUCAUGGUGGGGAUUGGAUCAGAAAACCCCACGUGUUAUAUUCAAAGAAGCUUGUUCACUCUUGGGAAGGUUAUAGCUCUAACCUUAUUUUCUUUAUUGAUCUAGUAAAUGAGUACACUGGGAAUUGAUGUAUUUAAGUGUUCAACAACUAAUUGUCAAUGAACCUUCUGAUAAAUAUUAUGAAGUAGUUGAUGAUUCUGGGAUAAGAUAUUUAUUGUCUUUAAUAUCUGAUGAGUUUAAGUGUCGUAACUUCUAUGUAGCAGAUGAAUAUGAAUUGUCUGUUAAUAUUCCUAAUAUUGUCCAUUAUUUUGAUUCACAUCCACCAAUAACUGAAGUUGGUACAGAUUGUAGUGGGGUUGAGUGUGGGAGUGAGAGGGAGAAUGACAGUAAGGGUGAUGAGGUAGUGUAUGAUUCUGAGGAAUUUGAAACAAUAGCGUGUCAAAAAGAUAAAGAAAUUGAUGUUGGACUGCAAAAUUACAAGGAAUUAUAUAAGGGUACGAGCUUCAAGGACAUACCUGAAGCAAGAAAUGUAUUAACUUAUAUUCUCUGACAAACAAAAAGAAUUUAAAACAAGAAAAAAGUGGUAAAGAAAGAUUAAGGUACAAAUGUGUUCCUGGUUGCCCUUUUGUUGUUCUUAUUUCUGGGGAUGGAAAUCUGAUAAAGACACUAAACCCAGAGCAUGCUUAUGAUGAAGUAUUUGAUAACAGUAAGGUUGAUUAUCAUACAAUUACACUUUAUUUCAAGAAAAAGCUUCAGGAUAAUCUUAUGUAUAAGAUUAAAAAGAUGAGAGCAGAUAUCAAAAAUGUGUUUAAUACAAAUGUCCGUUACGAAAGGUGUAAAAAGGCUAAAACAGAGAUUUUAGAGAAACUAGAAGGCAGUUUUAUAUAUUGGUAUAAUAAACUUGAAGCAUAUGCCAAUGAACUUAGAGAAAGUAAUCCUGCUCUUUAGGAGAAGUUAGAAGUUCUUCCGCUCGGAAUUGCAUAAGAGAAGAAAGCUCCACAGAUGACUCAGAAGGAGUAGGAAUUGGCUAACUAGGUUCUUCAACUAAAAAGUAAUCAAAUCGCAAAACUCCUUAUUACAAUCAUCCUUCGAUGCCUACUUACUUAAGUCUAGCUGACCCAGCUUACACAUUACACUUCAGCUGAGUCUAACGAGGCUCAAGUGCGGAGCCUUCCACUGUGGACCAAGACUACGCAAAGGUAGAAUACCAUGGAAACUUCGCUGACUUUAUCAUCAACCUUGAUUUUGUUACGCUCAAUAAGAACCCGAAAUAGCGGAAAUAAGUUGGUGUUCCGCUUUCAAAGUCAAUCAUCUUUGCCCAAGUGUGAACUGCAGACCGUCACACCUCCUUUUGGCCGCUACAACCCCGCGAAUGGCAUAGAUAAGGGAGUUUUUUCAAUUAAAGGACAAUCGAAAAGGAAUUCAAUUAUUUAAGAGAAUUUCAGAGUCGCCACUUGGGAGAUUUAUGGUGUCCCAAGUCACCAUUUAGAAUCCCGAAUCGAGGAAAUAAUGACUCUAUUUAACAGUCCGCGAACCAAAAAUCCGGGAAAGGAAUUUUGUUAACCCGGGAGAAGGUGUUAGGCACUCCCGAAUUCUGUGGUUCUAGCACGGUCGCUCAACUGUUAUAUUUGUCUUAAAUUAUCUGACUUUAAACAAUUAUGAACCUAUGUGUCAAUUUCAAUUUUUAACCGUUUUUAUUUAUUAUUAUUAUUAUUAGAAUUACAACAUCGUUAAAACACGUUUUCGAACCAUGUCGCAUAAAUGCACACGUGAUUUUUGACACAUUUCAACUUCGUCGAGAUUCGGAUUUGGAUCACACAAAUGCACACCCGAAUUCAGGAAGGUAAGAUUAUUUAAGAACGCGCUUAAAGCGGCUAACGUGUUAUUAACAUUGCGAGGGCCAUGAAAUUUCGCUAAUUGUACACCUUGAUUUUUAAAGAGUUAAAAUUAAUUAAGUGAGGGUCAUGAAUUAUAGACAAGAUAAGUAUUAAAAUGCACAUUAUUAGGAUGAACGUUACUACUCCAAAUUAGGCACAGUACAUAACCAAAUAAAUUUGAUGAUCCAAACCUUUCCUAAGGCAAAUUAUAUCUUGCUUAUACCGUGAAAGUACUGUGUACCUCAAUUCCAAGAGAAUCAUUUGGCUUUAACCUCAAAUAAUCAUUUUUUCUAGUCUAUCAAUAGAUCUCAAAAAGUCAUUCCAAUUUUCAAUUACUAAGAGCAGUUCAGUAGUAAUUAUUUAAAAAUGAAAACGAAUAAGACUGUAUAUUAGUACAGGUAUACUAUAUAUUCAAAUUUUGUCUUUUGCUUGUCCAUUUUAGUAGUGGUCUUCUUCACCAAUUCACAAACACAAACAAACCAACCAGAAUGAAAAGAGCUAUUCCACAUGAACGUGAUUGCAUCAGUAAAAAACUUCGACAUAAAUGAACCAAGUCAAGAGAAUCUCAGACAAACAACGAAACACGCAUAACAACUACACAAUAUACAUAAUCGUCAAAACAUAAUAACUAGGAAACAGAUAGGAAAUUUAAGAUUAGAAAGAAAUUGAACUUAAAUGGGACAGAUUUUCCAAUUACAACAGUCGUAUAUGAGUGGAUACCUGGACCGAAAAACCUCGACUGAAAUCGCACGAGUUCGGAACACCUCAACAAUCGAGCAGCAAAUUUCGAUCUUAAAAACCUCCUGGAAAUCCAGAUUUUCAGAAAACUUCUCUUGUUUUUCGGAUCUAAUUGGUUUUUUUUUUUUUUCGAAAAUGGGUGGCUGACGUCUCCGGCGUGUCGCCGCUGCUGGUUUCCGGCACGUGGUCGUUUGGUGGUUAGGUUGCAGAGAGCGCUGGAGAUGGUCCUCUUUGUGUCUUCUGCGCAGCUGCGCUCAAUUUUUUUUCCAAGCGUCCCCUUGUUCUGUGUUGUGUUCUAUUGUGUAUCUCUUCUAUAUUGUUGUGUGUGUAUUGUUCAGAAGAAUAGCAAAGCUGCGCAGCCUUGGUGAAGAAUUUUCCAUGCGUGUGUUUUGUGUAGGAGCAACCAAAACUGCCAGCCUUUAUUGUUCUCCUUCUGUAUAAAUUCUGUGUAUGUUAUGAAAUAAUAUAAGAACAAGAACAAAAUAGAGAGAAGUAGAGAGAAGAAU